AGUAGGCAUAAACAUGAGACAGAGUACCUAAAACUUAGAACCCAUGCCAGCCGAUGAUGUCACUUCAUUAUGAUUCAACUGGCAGGCUGUUCUCUGUUAUACAGCUGGCCCCUGGAUGCUGGGAGGAUUUGUGCCAACCAGUUGUACCUGCUUCUGGCCUGGACCACAAGUACCUCACCAGUCAGCAUGCCCGGUGAAAGCUGAUCAAAACUCCAUGCAGACUCCUUCCAGCGCUGAUCUGAAACAAGAAGAAAAGGGCUACUCCAUUCUCUACAGAACUAGAACCUUAACUCGUUUCAGUUUUGUUUUGUUCAUAUUAAAUCCACCCCACAUGAAACAUGAAUAAUCCCAAGUAAUCCAGUAUCACCAAGAAAUAAAUACAUGGUACUAAUUA